rnacentral:rRNA from 1 species
GACGAACGCUGGCGGCGUGCCUAACACAUGCAAGUCGAGCGGUAGCACAGAGAGCUUGCUCUCGGGUGACGAGCGGCGGACGGGUGAGUAAUGUCUGGGAAGCUGCCUGAUGGAGGGGGAUAACUACUGGAAACGGUAGCUAAUACCGCAUAACGUCGCAAGACCAAAGUGGGGGACCUUCGGGCCUCAUGCCAUCAGAUGUGCCCAGAUGGGAUUAGCUGGUAGGUGGGGUAACGGCUCACCUAGGCGACGAUCCCUAGCUGGUCUGAGAGGAUGACCAGCCACACUGGAACUGAGACACGGUCCAGACUCCUACGGGAGGCAGCAGUGGGGAAUAUUGCACAAUGGGCGCAAGCCUGAUGCAGCCAUGCCGCGUGCGUGAAGAAGGCCUUCGGGUUGUAAAGCACUUUCAGCGGGGAGGAAGGCGGUGAGGUUAAUAACCUCACUGAUUGACGUUACCCGCAGAAGAAGCACCGGCUAACUCCGUGCCAGCCGCCGCCGUAA